GCGAGGUUAAUAGAUGCCAUAGAAACCAGUACCAUGGUGUAGAUCUAUAACCAACUUCUACUCAUGACAUUUGCAAGACUACUGCCAGCUGCUUAUAAUAAAACCACAGUUGACAUGCAUACAACAUAUUUAACAGGCUAGGCAAGUAAAAAAAAUCAGCCAAGCUCGACAAAUGGACUAAUAAACGCAAGUGUAGAGCACCAAGUUUCUAAGUGUUCCCAGGAGGCUUCAAAUGGUUCCCGGGAGGUAUCUAAUAGAUUUAGAAACCUGGUAUUCGGCAAUCUGAUUGGUCAAUUGCAACUAGGCAUGGUAGAAUAAUGGUUUUAAGCUUAUUUAUGAUGCUUAACUUUACCUUCUUCACAUUGCAUUUGUUCAAAUCAUCAUACAAAUUACUUUGUAAACUACUAACCGGUAUGUUGACAAAUUUUCCACACCUUUUCUGCUGUCAACCUAAAGUAAUAUGCAUUAUAUUGAAAUGAACAUGCUGGGAAUUUUUUUUUGUAUAAAAAUUACUGACAUUAAGUCACCUGCCAAGCUCUCUGAUACAUCAAACUAUUCUCAGAAUACUAAUAAUGUUUUGGUGAUGAAGUAUUAAUUUUUUACCUUGCAGGCAUAAAUACCACAGUCAGUUGAGUUAGAUAGCAAAAUUCUAUUCUUUAUAAAAUUUUGAUGAAGCGGCAUAAAAAGGUAUUGCAUAUGAAACCAACUUCAUUUAAGAAUCUUUCCUACAUAGUCUUUUUGCCAUAGCUAUAUACUUUUUUAAAAUAAUAGGCUCAAUUCCAUUAUUCAUUAUUUGCUGUAAAUAAUUUUGCUUUUCUAGAAGCUAGUAACUCUAUAAGGAUGGAUGAGCCCUUUAAUGUUUUGUAUUCUAUCUAGUUUAUGAUCAUUAGUCUCAUGGUUCUGUUCCACAUUCUAGACGCUCUGCACAAAGUAUCUAUGCUCUGCAGAAUGUUACACAUUCGCUCUGCAUACGUCAGUGUACGUUCCGCGUCACUGGUUCCACAUUCUUUGUAAAGUUCCACAUGUUCUGCAUUUUAUUUUUAGUAACGACCAAUUUUUUUGUGUCUCCUGUAUCAUUUUUGGAAUAUUUAGUUUGCCAUACAUAUAGGGUAAUAUGCCUAUGGACAGGAAGGAAGUGCUUGCAGUAAUGUGGCUGUAUCUAGUUAAAAGAGCCAGGCUGAAUCUAUAGUAUAUGCAUAUGAGCUAGAAAAAGAAGAUGGGAGUACCGCAAUCUGCUGCUGCUAUCUCUUUGCUGCUCUUUCUCUUUUGUUGCAGCCUAAUCCUUCCACAAGUUUAUGGCUUAAGCAAUGGAGCUAUUAUUCUCUCUCAAAACAACAUUUCAUCAACUUCUUAUUACUAUGGAGUAGUGAGGGUGUUUUACAAUGGAUGGGGUAAUAUUUGUAAUGAUUACUAUUUUGAUUCAGCUGAAGCUAAUGUCAUUUGUCAUCAGUUGGGAUACACUGGAGCUUCAAGCUACUCUAGAGCUGGACUAACAAGUUAUGGUACAGAUUACUAUCUUAUGAAGUGGGAUGACGUUAACUGUGGUAGUAGUUCAUACCUGUCCAUUGCUCAAUGUUCCUAUUCUACUUACAUUGACUAUGGUUGUGUUAACUCUAACAGUUAUGAUGCUACCGUAUACUGCUAUACAACUAGGAUAUGGAACAGUAAUCCAUAUGCUGGUAUGGUACGUCUUCAAGAUGGAGAUUAUUCUAAUGAAGGACGUGUUGAAGUUCAUUGUAAUGGAGAGUGGGGGACAAUUUGCAGUGAUGGCUUUGACUUUACUGAUGCCAACACUAUCUGCAAGCAACUGGGAUAUGAUUCCUUUGCAACGUUUAAUGGAUCAAAUUCCAAUUAUGCUAAUAGCAGUCAGCCUAUAUGGACAACUGGCAUGAACAGUGCCUCAAAUGAUGUUUGUUUCACUCAAAGCAACUCCUGUCCUAGCAGUGAAGUGAUAAAUUGCUCUAAUUCUAGUAUUGUAUCAAUCGAAUGCUGUUAGUUAAUAUAAUACUUUGAUAAAAAUACUAAUUUCCUUCUACAGCUGAGAGUUUUACUUUUGUAAGGUAUACUGCUGAUGUUCAGUCUUGUAAUUUGGAUGGUACUGUUAAAGGAACAAUUAUUCUCUCGCGUAACAAUGUGGCAUCAUCUUCUUAUUACUAUGGAACAAUUAGAGUCUAUUAUAAUGGAUGGGGUAACAUUUGUGAUGACUACUAUUAUAAUUCAGGUGAAGCUAAUGUCAUUUGUCAUCAGUUAGGAUAUACUGGAGCUUCAAGCUACUCUAGAGCUGGACUAACUAGUUAUGGCACAGACUAUCUUUUUAUGAAAUGGGAUGAUGUUAACUGUGCCAGUAGCAGCUAUUUAUCUAUUGCUCAAUGUUCCUACUCUACUUACAUUGACAGUGGUUGUGUUAACAGUAACAGUUAUGAUGCUACUGUAUACUGCUAUACAACAAGAAUCUGGAACAGUAAUCCAUAUGAUGGUAUGGUACGUCUUCAAGAUGGAGCUUAUUCUAACGAAGGACGUGUUGAGGUUUAUUGUAAUGGACAGUGGGGGACAAUAUGCAGUGAUGGGUUUGACUCAAAUAAUGCUAACACUAUCUGCAAGCAACUGGGAUAUGAUGCAUUAUUCAGUUAUAAUAAAUUUUCAUUGCAUGAGAAUUCUAGUAAUUCAACAGUAUGGUGUCGCUCUGUUCCUAAUUUACCCACUGAUGUGAAGUGUCUACCUCAACAAGACAAUCUGUAACUACUUCAACUUGCCAACAAUACUAUUCUCAAGCAGCUGCUGGAACUAUUAUUCUAUCUCGUAAUAAUGUGUCUUCAACCUCUUAUUACUAUGGAACAAUUAGAGUCUAUUAUAAUGGAUGGGGCAACAUUUGUGAUGACUACUAUUAUAACUUUUAUGAAGCUAAUGUCAUUUGUCAUCAGUAGGGAUACAAUGGAGCUUCAAGCUACUCUAGAGCUGGACUAACUAGUUAUGGUACAGACUAUCUUUCUAUAAAAUGGGAUGAUGUUAACUGUGCCAGUAGCAGCUAUUUAUCUAUUGCUCAAUGUUCCUACUCUACUUACAUUGACAGUGGUUGUGUCAACAGCAACAGUUAUGAUGCUACUGUAUCCUGCUAUACCACAAGGAUAUGGAACAGUAAUCCAUAUGCUGGUAUGAUACGUCUUCAAGAUGGAGAUUAUUCUAAUGAAGGACAUGUUGAAGUUUAUUGUAAUGGACAGUGGGGGACAAUAUGCAGUGAUGGGUUUGACUCUACUGAUGCCAACACUAUCUGCAAGCAACUGGGAUAUGAUUCAUCCUCAUUCUUUCAUCUUUCACCUGAUUCAAAUGACAGUUUGCCUUUUUGGACUUCUAACAUGUAUAGUGUAACGUUUAUAAUAAGUAUCAAUGAACUCAACACAAUAUAAUGUAAUAAAUGAGCAGGAAGAGAGAAAGAGAACAUCGGGAGAGUAGAACAAGUGAACAAGAGUCCAGACAGAACACACAUACUUAUAAACAUGCAUACAGGAAAUAAUAAGAAACCACACAGGAUAUUAACAUCA